GCGCCGCUAGCUCAAUUGGCAGAGCAACUGACUCUUAAUCAGUAGGUUCGGGGUUCGAUUCCCUGGCGGCGCA
rnacentral:tRNA from 3 species